CUCCCACCCGUGUCUAUCGUACCUUGUUGCUUCGGCGGGCCCGCCGUUUCGACGGCCGCCGGGGAGGCCUCGCGCCCCCGGGCCCGCGCCCGCCGAAGACCCCAACAUGAACGCUGUUCUGAAAGUAUGCAGUCUGAGUUGAUUAUCAUAAUCAGUUAAAACUUUCAACAACGGAUCUCUUGGUUCCGGCAUCGAUGAAGAACGCAGCGAAAUGCGAUAAGUAAUGUGAAUUGCAGAAUUCAGUGAAUCAUCGAGUCUUUGAACGCACAUUGCGCCCCCUGGUAUUCCGGGGGGCAUGCCUGUCCGAGCGUCAUUGCUGCCCUCAAGCACGGCUUGUGUGUUGGGCCCCGUCCCCUCCCCCGGGGACGGGCCCGAAAGGCAGCGGCGGCACCGCGUCCGAUCCUCGAGCGUAUGGGGCUUUGUCACCCGCUCUGUAGGCCCGGCCGGCGCCAGCCGACACCCAACUUUUAUUUCUAAGGUUGACCUCGGAUCAGGUAGGGAUACCCGCUGAACUUAAGCAUAUCAAUAAG
rnacentral:misc_RNA from 1 species